CCGCCCUGAUGGGCGACUCAAAUUCGUAUAUUUAUUCGCCUCCUCUUCUCUGAAUGUUCCUAAGGGGAUCAUUGCCGCUCGCUUGGCCCUCGUCGGGUCGAACUCUUAGCCCGCCGACACGGCAGGCUUAACAUCAGACCUCUCCGCAGGAGUCGCUGCCUGGACCUUUCCCCGCGGACCCUCCCACUCUCGGGGCAGGCCGGGCCUGGGACAGCGGGGUGCUCCGCGGCAGUUGCUCAGCCCAACAAACCCUUACGUCGGGUUUAGCCCGCCAUCUGAGGCAGGUUCCGAUUUAUGUCCGCUCUCUGGCUAUCGCUUGUUCAUGGCGCUCCCUUUCUACUUUUCCUGAAACUUUUCUCUCAGUUUCUCACGAACUUUAACGGCCCUCCCUUCGCCUACCCCCGGCCGCUACGCGGGGCCGGCAUACGCCUUGCCGAGAACGACCAGGCGGCGAGCCGAGCCCCACACCUGACAACAGCCGGCGCGGCCGCCGGUUUCGGGCCCCCGGGAUCCACGGGGGCCACCGGCAGCAGCCGUGCCGGCCAUGGGCGCGCGGCUUUCCGCACAGGGAGCCCCGUGACGCGACGUUGCCGGACGCCCGAGGGGUAGGCUGGGCAGAACUUUGUGCCUGGUUCCUCAGACUGUACGCACGCUCAGCUGCCCAAGACUUUGGACCCUACGCGUUCCUUCGACAGCUCGCCCUCCGGGAGUGCCCGUCGUGGCGACCGGCUGGGACUAGAAGACACUUGCCAAGCUCAACCUCGUGCGGACAGCCCUGGGCUUUCUACCACUUGAUACGGACUCGCCCCGCUUCGGUCUCCUUUGAGACCACCUCCGAGCUUCGCUAUGACUGCACGUUUAGCAAGCAGACUGAACCCAUAUCCCCACUUUCUGAUUAGCUUGGUAGAUCAUCGACCAAGGGAGGCUUCAAAGGGAGUCCUAUCGACCUCGGGUAAUGUUCAAGAUAGUCCAUUUCGGUUACUAAUCUCCUUAACCCCUGCGUUGCAGGAGCUGGAUAAGAGUUUGAAAUUUAUCCAUCCUACCGCGCCGACGAAGCCACUCGGCACGGUACCUUAGCCCACGAGGUUCACCCGGUAAAAACCAUUCGUCUUGACCGCUACGCCCUACUUGGCCUUCGGCCCAAUGCCACGGGUUGACGCGCGAUUGGAUCUUGGGUGUUUCCCACAACCAGCUAAUUCUGUCGUCCUGCCACCAGUACCUUCAGCUUUAGGCGAUUCCUCACACAUUGUUGAGUGGACGGCUUAGUUGAUCGGGGCUUUUACCUACCGCGACUUCGCGCGCUGGGUGUGGGCCGGUAGACCCGCUCGCGGUACGGGGCUACUCAUCCUCCCGCGCCGCCGGCGACGUUUUGGACCCCGCGCUCGGGCCCGCCUCGCCGGCAGCCACGUCUAGAACCACCAUCAUCGUUUAUAAGUUUACUCUUGAAACUUCCGGCUUCUCCUCUUUCCAAGGUACACUUGCUGUGAACGUGUACCCAUUCGGCUAGGAUUCCCUGCCCCAUUGGGACCGUCUAUCACGCUAGUGCGCGUAGGGGGCUUUCCCUUAGCCCAAUUCUAAAGGGCUCGGCCCUACACCGCCAACUGUCGCUGCAAUCCUUCAGGGCUCUGCGGCCGCCCCCGGAGCCCUUCUCAAUAGAAAAGACGAAUUGCCGGACGGUUGGGACCUUUGCCAAGUCGACCUCCAUCCCAGGUCACCGGCCUUCUCGUGGCGUGUAGCGCGCCACAGGCCACGCGGGGGCCGCCGGGUACUUUUAGGCCUCCUGGUUCAUGGUAAGUGCGGGCCAGCAUGAGUAUUGGCGUAGUCCAGAGGUUCCACUUGUCGGAGACCGGUUACCUUGUUACAUCCGUUCCCUUCAGCCGUUUUGCCUAGGCAUUGAAGCCCUUUUCCUAACCGAGACUCCUGACCUGAGCCCCCAGGGCCGGGGCUUGGGCAGCCAACAGUCGCCUGACGAGCUCUACGAGUGCGCCGCUCUCGCCCAGCGGCGCACGGCCGGCCCCCUGCCAGGCCCUUAGCGGGGAAGCCCCCGAAAGGGGCUCGUACUUUGUCAGCUGAGUCUUGACCAUGCCUGUUCCCCUUAGGCUGACAAAUUAAUUUUGUUUCGUAACGCUACCAGGAGCGCCUACGACUGCGUUACACUAAAGACGGGUCACGAGACUUACAGUUUCACUUCUUUAAGUUGGUUCGCGCCCAUUUGCCGCCCUCAUUGAUACUGAGAGAAUUCCAUCGGUUUACGGAGCAGUAGAUUAGUCACUGCGCGUACUUACCUAAUUACUCUAAGGGUGACAGGGACAGAUGAUAGGUCGCUUUGGUGUCGGUUCCCUUGCCCGAACCGUCUUAGUCGCCCCUUUCUUCUGGGACAACUCGAACUGAGAUCAGGCUGAAACACUUUACUGAACUCUCCACAUCCUAUUCACCCUCGGGAGUGCCCGCGUUCACUUUAUGGUGAUGAAAAUUGCAAUAAAAUGAAUAAGGCACCCAGCCUUCGCCCCGUACAGGGGAGGAAAACCGAGGUUCCGGGCCAGAAUGGCCCGGCUAGGCCCGCCUUCUAUAACAGUCCACCCCUCAAACCGACCCCAUUGCGUCCCCGGCUAGGCCCGUGUAGACAAUUUUCUAUUGCGUCCACAGGAUUCUACUCGAGUUGCUCUUGUCUUUAGAGCACACCUUGUUUUCCCAUUUUAGAGCAAACUAAGACUAAAGGUCAUGCUUAUGCUUGGCACUUUCGCACCGGAUAGCUAGGAAGUCUAGAAGCCUCAAACUUCGAUCUCCACAGUCUUUUCAAUGGUGUCCCUAUUGACCGAACACCGUCGGUUCGCAAGUAUCGCUACAACGAAAAACUAGGAAGCUACAGCCGAGAAGGAUAGUAACACUUCGUCUUAAGUGGUUCACAACCUAACAAGUGGGUGGUUAUCCCUUGCACUC
rnacentral:rRNA from 1 species